CUUCAGGUGGUACCAAACUAAACAAUUCUGCAACAUCUGCUAUAUUUGAUACAGGAGCACAUGAUUUUGGCUAGCAUAACAGCUCUGAAAGGGCUGAAUCUUUAAGGAAGUUAAUUGCUGUGGGGAAGAUCCUAUGCAAUCCCAUGUGUGGUUGCUUUCUCCAGAGUAGCAGAAAAGCUGCUAGGGAAACCUGUGUUCCUGUGUGAGGGGAAAGAAAGACAUCUCUCCUGGAAAGGGUGAAGAUCUCUUAAAGUUGGCAAGCAUUAUCUUGAAAAUAAAGGAGACCAGCACCAGGGAAGAAUCAGCUGGGGAGGGUAUAGAUGGAUUAGGUUCUGUCUUGGAUAUGAAGAGGACAAGCAGAUUCCAUAAAGCAGCAGGCAGGGCAGAAAUGGCUGGUGAGCAUGAGACUGCCAGCUGCUGUGCAAGUGCUUCAGGACACAGAGAACCUGCAGGAUCACCAUAUGGAGAACAGACAUAUGCUAUACAGCCUAG
ensembl:lncRNA